GACGAACGCUGGCGGCGCGCCUAACACAUGCAAGUCGAACGAGAGAUGAGGAGCUUGCUCUUCAAAUCGAGUGGCGAACGGGUGAGUAACGCGUGAGGAACCUGCCUCAAAGAGGGGGACAACAGUUGGAAACGACUGCUAAUACCGCAUAAGCCCACGGCUCGGCAUCGAGCAGAGGGAAAAGGAGUGAUCCGCUUUGAGAUGGCCUCGCGUCCGAUUAGCUAGUUGGUGAGGUAACGGCCCACCAAGGCGACGAUCGGUAGCCGGACUGAGAGGUUGAACGGCCACAUUGGGACUGAGACACGGCCCAGACUCCUACGGGAGGCAGCAGUGGGGAAUAUUGCACAAUGGGGGAAACCCUGAUGCAGCGACGCCGCGUGGAGGAAGAAGGUCUUCGGAUUGUAAACUCCUGUUGUUGAGGAAGAUAAUGACGGUACUCAACAAGGAAGUGACGGCUA
rnacentral:rRNA from 1 species